UACGGAGGGUGCGAGCGUUGUUCGGAAUUACUGGGCGUAAAGCGCGCGCAGGCGGCUCUUUUAAGUCUGACGGUGAAAUGCCGGGGCUCAACCCCGUGCCCGCCGCGGAUACUGGAGAGCUGGAGACACGUAGAGGCAAGCGGAAUUCCGGGGUGUAGCGGUGGAAUGCGUAGAGAUCCGGAAGAACACCGGUGGCGAAGGCGGCCUGCUGGGCAGUUGCUGACACUGAGGCG
rnacentral:rRNA from 1 species